CAAGUAGUCAACAUCUUCCUUUUGUUGAAGAGGGGGAGGUUCUGUUUUUUGUUGUUGUUUACGUUUGCAAAGCAAUGCAGAAAUGUGCAUAAUAUGCUAAUAUGUAGGUACUUCAGAGAAGAGCUAAAGCAGAGGAUAUGGGGGAAGGCCUGUCGGGGUCCUGGUUGAUUACAUGAGUGUCGAAAGCAUAGACUGGGUUUCUCCACCUUACACAGUGAAUCAAGCUAUUCAUCCUCUUUCAAGAUGUUGAUCUUUGACCUUUGACUCAGACCAGCAACCAAGUACAAGUUUAAUAUUCAUCUCUCUGGCAGUUUCAAAUCGUGUCCAUAAUAGAUCAUCUCUGGGCACAUCCACGUUGCUGGAAAUGGAACACUGCAGCUUUACUGUGGUGAAAAAGCAGAGGACACUGGACUGGCUACAGAAGCUUACUUAAGAUCUGCUGUUUCAACUUGCAUUUUCUCCCACCCUGGCUUAUACAUGCAUCUAUACACAGCACUCCUUCAGACUUCAAGUAGCAUAUGUUUUCCUCACCAUCUCUACCAGCGAACCAAUCCCCCUGAACCAUCUUUUUGCUUUUCCUGCCUGCUUCAAGAAACCUUACAUUCUGGGAGUUUCAGAUGAAAUAUCACAACAUUUGUUGUCAUUGUAAAAGAUCAUUUAAUAUUCCGUGGGCACAUGCCAUAUGUUUUGAAGGAAGAUGAUAAGUACUGUUUUGUCACUUUUUCUUGGCAAAAUGCAAAACGGAGUGAAAACAAAGACACUUUCCAUACAUGAAGCUUUAAGAAAAUAUUGGGGAAAAUAUUGCAAAUUGAGUUACAAUGUGCCACUUCUGAAUUUUCUUGGUUAGAAAAGAAGUUCACAGUUAUUCUCCUACCGAUUUACAAUAGAGAGUCGUUCACACAGAGCCUUGGCCACAUGGCACUACAUCUUAUGGAAACAUGUGUGGUCUGUUCAAUGAAUGAAAGAGGAUCUGUUUUUCCAACUUAUGAUGAAUUCAGCAUGUAGUUAUUUUCCUAAAUAAAAGCCCCUACCCCCUAGACUUACACUAGGAGUAUGCUGUGACAAUGUGACACAUAGGCCAUGGAAUUAAGUGCUCUGCCAUGGGAUUAAGGUUCACGCCAUAGAAUUAAAGGCUUUAAAAUAGCACAAUUAAUAUCCAGGGGAAAAAUAAAGAGAAACACCAAGUAAUAUAUAAUCACAGUAUCAUACUGGAUAGAAAAUCAAUGAGAAAACUAGGGAAGCCUUCCACAGAAGACUGUUUUCAUUGUGGCAAUAUUGCAUGUAACUGUAAGAUGUAUAGAGACAUUAAGAUUUAAAUGCUUAGUCUCUCAGCACCAAAAAAUCACAUAACUGAAGUUAAAGAAAUCUUCAUGAAACUAUUUGGGAAAUAAGACAUGUUAUCUGUUAUAAGGGCUCUAAAUGAUAGUACAGCUGUAUUGAUCUCUAAUGUUAAGGCAAUAACCUGUGAGUGCUGUCAAUCAGAAAAGACUCACUCUUAAAGGAUUAAGACCUAUUUGGACUUGGUUGACUUGUUAUUCAUUUCUAAAAUGUUCAUUUGAUUAAAAAAUUGUAUUCUUAAAUAAAUAAAAUUAAGCAUUCAGUUCUGAGUGAAUACGCUUGUCUCUCUGAAGCGUCCUUAGGUUGCAACAACUUCAGGAAGAACAACGCUCUGAAGGCAUAUUUUAGGCCUUGGUGGCUGAUGCUGAAUUGCAGUUUUCCCUGCAGAUCAGCUUCAGAGAAAUGAGACAUUUUGCCUUGGGUUUUAUAGCUGCAAAGUGGGCUUCGAGGUAAGGAAACUUCCAACUCAGUAAGAACUUGUCCAGAACUCAGAAGAGAUCAUUCCUUAAAUGAGACUAUUGACAGGAGAAAAGUGGGGAUGAAAGAUUAUUCUGAAACAAGGACGCGAGACUCGAACACUAGUUAGGCAUUUGAUUCCAACUGUACAGACUCCAGUAUGCCCUGAAGAUCCACACGUUCUCCUCUGGGCAAAGCCUGUGUGGCAGGUCUCAUAGGGAAUCAUGCUUGUCAUGCCAAGUGUAAUUUUAGAAGCAUCAACCCAGUAGCUCCUUGAGAUGUAUUCCAUCUCUCUGGGGAGUAUAAUUAGCCAAAAAUGCAAUGCCAAGGGGGAAGAAACAAUAAAAAAGAAAAAUGUGUUUCAACAAUAGAAAAAUAAUCAUUUGCUUUAAUUUUUCCAAACACCAAAUUAAAAUUGGCAAAUAUGAAAAGAUACUCAGGCUUUGUGAUUUUAAUUUUAUCUCCAGCAAUUUGAGAGCCUUAAUAAAGAGACUGGAAAAGGCAUCCUAGCAAAAUGGAUUUUUUUCCCUACCAUGUGUGUUCCACUGGCUGUCCUGGCCAGAGCUGACUUCUUACAAUUUGGUUUGCCAGACAUAACAGAGACAGGCACAAUCGCUGUGAUUAGCAUCAUGUGAGGAAUAAACAGUCUGUGGCUGAAGCAGCAGGCUCUAAAUAGCUUUCUAACCUAGGUUUGACCAAGACAUGCAAUAUAUCCAGAAAUUUCCUCAAUUACAUAUGUAGUCAUUUUCUCUCAUACUCAUCAUGUCCUUUGCAGUUUCUGAACACAUAUGUCUAAAUAAUAUUGACUGUAAUUUUUGUGCAGUAUAGGUUGGAGCAUAUUGUGUCUGGUUCAGUGCAUCUCACUGAAUUUUUAUAAUAAGUUGGAGAGUCAUGCCUAUUGCUUUUCCCCCCCAUUAAAUUUUGGAAAUAAGAAAAAAAGCAUAUUAGAUAUGUAUAACAUAUAGCUUUAAUGUAUUCAGCUGAAGAUAUUCUGAAAUCCUAAGAAAAACCAUAUUUUUGUGCUAUAUUUAAUAGUAUUUAAGGAUAAGCAUAUAUAUAAGUAUAUAUGGAAUAUGUAAGUAACUGUCAGUUCAAGUCACUCUUUUGAGAAAUGUAUCAAACCUAAAGCAUGUUUUCUUUUUACGUGCUCAAAUUUGCAUGUUUCUCGGUUUUUUGAGCAGUCUGUUUAAACCCAUGUAGUCAAAGUGCUCGUUAGGAACUAUAGCUGAUCUGAGAACUGUUGAUACUAGAAGCACCUGAAAAAGACACUUCAGGAAGUGCACCUGUCUGCUAGUCGAAUGGGGCUUCUCCAUUCAGUCUGAUGCAUGUCACCCAGUUACACCCCCGUUCCAUUUACAUCAUUUGCAAAGAGUGAGUGGCUGAUCAAAGCAGCUGUAAUGAUAAUGCAUCCUGUUUGGAGUUUUGAUUUUAAGAAAAGUUCCUGACUUACUUUUUUAAAAUUUG